rnacentral:rRNA from 1 species
AUUGAACGCUGGCGGCAGGCCUAACACAUGCAAGUCGAACGGUAGCACAGAGGAGCUUGCUCCUUGGGUGACGAGUGGCGGACGGGUGAGUAAUGUCUGGGAAACUGCCCGAUGGAGGGGGAUAACUACUGGAAACGGUAGCUAAUACCGCAUCACGUCUUCGGACCAAAGUGGUGGACCUUCGGGCCUCACACCAUCGGAUGUGCCCAGAUGGGAUUAGCUAGUAGGUGGGGUAAUGGCUCACCUAGGCGACGAUCCCUAGCUGGUCUGAGAGGAUGACCAGCCACACUGGAACUGAGACACGGUCCAGACUCCUACGGGAGGCAGCAGUGGGGAAUAUUGCACAAUGGGCGCAAGCCUGAUGCAGCCAUGCCGCGUGUAUGAAGAAGGCCUUCGGGUUGUAAAGUACUUUCAGCGGGGAGGAAGGCGUUAAGGUUAAUAACCUUGGCGAUUGACGUUACCCGCAGAAGAAGCACCGGCUAACUCCGUGCCAGCCGCCGCAGUAA